GACGAACGCUGGCGGCGUGCCUAACACAUGCAAGUCGAGCGGAGUCGAUCGACGGAAGCCUUCGGGCGGAAGAUGGUUGACUUAGCGGCGGAUGGGUGAGUAACGCGUGGGCAACCUGCCUCGAAGACCGGGAUAACAGCCCGAAAGGGCUGCUAAUACCGGAUGUGGUCAAGGAUCCGCAUGGAUUUUUGAUUAAAGGGGAAACCCGUUUCGAGAUGGGCCCGCGUCCUAUCAGCUAGUUGGUGAGGUAAAAGCUCACCAAGGCGACGACGGGUAGCCGGCCUGAGAGGGUGACCGGCCACACUGGAACUGAGACACGGUCCAGACUCCUACGGGGGCAGCAGUGGGGAAUCUUCCACAAUGGGCGAAAGCCUGAUGGAGCGACGCCGCGUGAGCGAAGAAGGCCUUCGGGUUGUAAAGCGUCUGUCUGGAGGGACGGAAGGGAAGUAGACGGUACCGUCCCGUAGGAAGCCACGGCUAACUACGUCGCACGCAGCCGCGGUAACACGAGAGUA
rnacentral:rRNA from 1 species